AGUAACACGUAAACAACCUGCCUUCAAGAUGGGGACAACAGACGGAAACGACUGCUAAUACCGAAUACGAUCCGAAAGUCGCGUGACAUUUGGAUGAAAGGGUGGCCUAUCGAAGAAGCUAUCGCUUGAAGAGGGGUUUGCGUCCGAUUAGGUAGUUGGUGAGGUAACGGCCCACCAAGCCGACGAUCGGUAGCCGGUCUGAGAGGAUGAACGGCCACACUGGAACUGAGACACGGUCCAGACUCCUACGGGAGGCAGCAGAC
rnacentral:rRNA from 1 species